rnacentral:rRNA from 1 species
CGGGGUGCCCAGGCGCGAAACCUUUGCAAUACACGAAAGUGUGACAGGGCUAUCCCGAGUGCCAUCCGCUGAGGAAGGCUUUUACCCAGUCUAGAACGCUGGGGGAAUAAGGAGAGGGCAAGUCUGGUGUCAGCCGCCGCGGUAAUACCAGCUCUCCGAGUGGUGUGGAUGUUUAUUGGGCCUAAAGCAUCCGUAGCUGGCUAGGUAAGUCCCUUGUUAAAUCCACCGAAUUAAUCGUUGGAUCGCGGGGGAUACUACUUGGCUAGGGGACGAGAGAGGCAGACGGUAUUUUCGGGGUAGGGGUGAAAUCCUAUAAUCCCGGGAAGACCACCAGUGGCGAAGGCUGUCUGCUAGAACGCGCCCGACGGUGAGGGAUGAAAGCUGGGGGAGCGAACCGGAUUAGAUACCCGGGUAGUCCCAGCUGUAAACGAUGCAGACUAGGUGUUUGGACGGCCACGUGCCGUUCUAGUGCCGCAGGGAAGCUGUUAAGUCUGCCGCCUGGGGAGUACGAUCGCAAGAUUGAAACUUAAAGGAAUUGGCGGGGGAGCAC